GGCAAAUGAAUGCAUGGGAUGCUUAUUAUGUAUUGUGUGCCAGAAAAAGGUAAGGUAUAAAAAGCACUUUUUUUUUGGUGCGUUUGAAAUGGGCACCAUAAAGCUUUAAGUGACCGUACUCCAUUUUUUUUUUUUCUUCAGGGUCAGAUAAUUCUGGAUGCUAGCGCCACUCACUGUUCACUCUUGCUAGAUGUUUUUGGGUUGCUCCUUGCUCUUACGCUGGUACUGGUCUUUUCGGUCAGCGCUCAGUUUAUUCUUACCAUGGAUUCAAGCAGCAUCAGUGAUGAAGACUGUGAAGCCUAUAUGUCUGAAUUGCUGGAGAAAAGGUCCAGCUGUGUGGUGAUCAAGUCAGACUCUGAUUCUGAUUCUCCCUCUAAGGAAAAGAGAGCUAAGAUCUGUGAAAUGAGCAGUGAAGGCAAGUAUCAUUUUCACUUAGAGAAAUAGCUGAGCUCUGAAGCCUUGUCACAUGUGGCAGUUUUAGGAUCUGACUUUGCACACUUUUAGUUUAUGAUGACUUCAUAGCCAGUGCCACCAUUUCUUUUUCUAUCAUGUGCUGGAUAUCAGUAUGACUGGGUUCCCACUCCUUGUUUCAUAAUACAGUUGCAGCUCUUCUUGCUGCCUAAGACAUGGGUAGAGUUCUGUCUGCCUAGACUCUGCUCCUCCCUCUUCCUCUCUUUCCAUUCUUUAUAAGUAAGCAUGGC
rnacentral:lncRNA from 1 species